rnacentral:sRNA from 1 species
UUUUUGUCAUCCCCGGUUUAGCCAUCUAUUAAGCCAGCUACAUGAUUCAUAUCAAGACCAAUGCGGGAUUAAGGAUCAAGUUUACCGGCGAUUGCAACAUCAUCUUCAUCAUCACCAUCCGAGGCAUAUUCAUCUUCACUCAUUUCAUCAUCACUAGACAUUUCCUCAGUAUCCGCCCUUGGCUUUGCGUAUUUCUCACAAUACUCUGAAACCGAGCAAGAAGAUAAGAUAAUGUAGGGUAACAAGAAUCUAAUCAACUCAAUAUCUAACCUUUAACUCUCUGUUCAUAGGUAGGACGAUCACGC